GGCCAGGGAGCUGCAGGCAAGGGACUAAGGGGAGGGGGGCUCAGUGCCAGCUGCUUAAAAAUGCCCCUGUGGCAGCGAGGGGCACCAGAGGCUGGGUCUAAUUAGUUGAGAAGCAGUGACACCCCCAACCACUCCCCAAACAGGCUGGCUCCCAUCUCCAGGCCCCAAGGAGCCACACCUGGACCAGACCCCAGGAAAGGCAAGGGCACUAGCUAGUGGGAGCCACCCCUGCUACGCUGAUGCUGGAGAAGCAAGAACUCUGGAGAAGCAGCCUCCUGGGACCAGAGGGGGGCCAGCAGCAGGCAGCUCGGCUACAGAACUCUCACCCACGCCUCUCCAAGCCUCCCGACAGAAGACAGAGGUCCCCCACAGCCCAGAGACAUUUCCUGAAGACAUGGGGACCACAGAGGCAGAAACAGCCCAUCCACCCAGGAGCUGCCCCCCACGCUGCCGGGAGCCAGCACCCAGAGCCGCCAGAUAAAACUGAGGCCACCUGGUUCAACAUUGCCUUUCACAGAAGGGGAAACAGCCACAGAAAGAAGGGCCUGGUAAGAAGUGGAACCUGGGACCCCCAAGCGGUGUCUCUCAUCCUGACUGGGGAUCCAGAGUAGGAGGGAGCCUUUGGUGGGGUUGGAGUCCCGCCACAGGCCACCAGAGCGGAGCAGCGCAGCGCCCUGUCUCCCAGCCUGAGGUGCAGUGCUGCAUCUCUGGUCAGUUGGGAGUCUGAGAUGAAGCACUGUAGCUCAGGAAGAGAGAAGUUGUUCUGCAGCCAUCAGCCUGGAAGUGGCUGGAUGUGGGAACUUCAGCACUGCCCUACUCUUGGGAAAUUUGUCCAAGGCCACCCGGCUGAGCAGCGGUUGAACAAGGACCCAUCAGGCAUGCGUUUCUUGUCUCCACCACACCCUCAACCCACUUCCCAAUGCGCCUUGCGACAGGGGCUGUGGUAUUGCAUCCACAUGACUGAUAAACUAGUAAACACACAUGAAUUCAUUUUAAAAGUGUAUUCAAUCCGUUAGGUAAACUAAAAACCGUUAAGUCUUCGUUCGAUUUGGAAUUGAUCCAGAGAACAAAUGGAAAAUUUUUCAAGGUAGAGAAGACGAAAACUCAGAACGCCCUCUUGUGGUGCCUCUACCCACCCCAGGAACACUAUGGCUCUUCCCCUACACAUGGUGAUUGCUAACGUUGCUACAAGACGUUGGACACAUACACACACACACACACGCACUGAGGUUCCUUUUGCCCCCUCGCUUUUGAGCCAGUGACUACUGAAACCCUCUCCAUUGUUGCACCACCAGCAAUGCCCCCAUCACUUCCUCUCGUUUAGUUCCACAGGCUGGUUCAUCCUCAAAGCCCUCCUUACGUAGAUCCGUGGGAUCAGUGAGGCUCAGAGAGGUAAGUGGCCAGCCCAAGGCCGCCCAGACAGCAAAAGGCAGGGCCAGCGCUGAUUUCAAGUCCAAUGGCCUAUGGCAAUUUCUUAGCCAAAAGCAAAAUCUACAAAAAUAAAAAGCCAGGCACAGUGGUGAGUGCCUACAGUCCCAGCUACUGAGGAGGCCGACGGGGGAGGACCACUUGAGCUUGGGAGUUCCUGGCUGCUGAGAGCUAUGAUUGUGUCUGUGAAUAGCCAAUGCACUCCAGCCUGAGCAACAUAGGGAGACCCUGUCUCUAAAAAAUACCCAAAUAAUUUUAAAAGUCAGCCUCCCUGACUGCCUAUAGAGAAUGCUAACUGACUGAAUGACAAAAGACCUAAUGUAAUCCAGGUGCAAAAUCAGAACUUUCUGGCCGGGCGCGGUGGCUCAUGCCUGUAAUCCCAACACUUUGGGAGGCCGAGGCGGGUGGAUCACGAGGUCAGGAGUUCAAGACCGGCCUGCCCAACAUGGCAAAACCCCGUCUCUACUAAAAAUACAAAAAAUUAACUGGGCGUGGUGGCAGGCGUCUAUAAUCUCAGCUGCUCAGGAGGCUGAGGCAGGAGAAUUGCUUGGACCCUGGAGGCAGAGGUUGCAGUGAGCUGAGAUCGCGCCACUGCACUCCAGCCUGGGCGACAAAAGCGAAACUCCUUCUCAAAAAAAAAAAAAAAAAAUUAGAACUUUCCCCGUACUCUUGCUAGGGCUUUUCAUGGAGUUGUAGAAACGGUAGUAAGUGCCAAGGCCCCAGAACCCUCAUGUUUGGGUCCGACUCCCACAUUGCCAGGGACUAGGCAGCUCACACAGGUGUCCCAAGCUGUCUUUCUCACAGGCCACAUUGAAGACAUUUAUGAAAUGAGACCCCCUCUUCCUCAUCCAUAGCAACGGAGCUGGCCUGACCGUGGAGAAAUCAGAUUUGAUCAUGAUAGCUUCCACUCAGUGACUGGUCACGAUCUGCCAGGCGCUGUGCUAAACACUUUCAUAGGCCUUGUCUCCCUCCAUCCUGAUAACACCCCAGUGAAGCAGGCCCUGCUAUUCACUCCACUCCACAAAGCCAAGGCUGAGAGAGGUUAACAAACUUACCUAAGGUCACACAGCUAAGAAGUUGUGAAGCUGGGAUCGAAUCAAGUCUGUGUUUAUGGGUUUAACUAUCAUGUUGUGGCCCCAACCCCAUUUGAACUAGCCUGGCUGGUGGGCCUUCUUGCAGUAGCUUCCCCUGGAAAAGAGGAAAAGCAAACCUUCAUUGAGACCCAAGUGGUCUCUCCUGUGCUCUGUGACAAUAAUAAAGUUCUGGCCCUUGG
rnacentral:lncRNA from 1 species